rnacentral:rRNA from 1 species
UUGGAGGGCAAGUCUGGUGCCAGCAGCCGCGGUAAUUCCAGCUCCAAUAGCGUAUAUUAAAGUUGUUGCAGUUAAAAAGCUCGUAGUUGAAUUUCGGGGUUUAUACGUUGGUCGGGCUUUUGGGUCUGUACUGGCGUAAUGAAUUCCUACCUUCUGAAUAACCAGCAUGUCAUUAAUUUGAUUCGCCGGGGAAGCAGGACUGUUACCUUGAAAAAAUUAGAGUGCUUAAAGCAGGCUAUUGCCUGAAUACAUUAGCAUGGAAUAAUGAAAUAGGACGGCAUGGUUCUAUUUUGUUGGUUUCUAGGAUCACCGUAAUGAUUAAUAGGGAUAGUUGGGGGCAUUAGUAUUCAAUUGUCAGAGGUGAAAUUCUUGGAUUUAUUGAAGACUAACUUCUGCGAAAGCAUUUGCCAAGGAUGUUUUCAUUAAUCAAGAACGAAAGUUAGGGGAUCGAAGACGAUCAGAUACCGUCGUAGUCUUAACCAUAAACUAUGCCGACUAGGGAUCGGACGAUGUUAAUUUUUUAAUGACUCGUUCGGCGCCUUACGGGAAAC